GAUGAACGCUGACAGAAUGCUUAACACAUGCAAGUCGAUGGGGAAGUGGUGCUUGCACCAUGGCAACCAUGGCGGACGGGUGAGUAACGCGUAAGGGACUUACCUGCAGGACUGGGAUAACAGGGGGAAACUCCUGACAAGACCGGAUAAUGUCAUGGAGCUGCAUGGCUUUAUGAUGAAAGGAGACGCCUGCGGAGAGCCUUGCGUCCUAUUAGCUAGUUGGUGAGGUAAUGGCUCACCAAGGCGAAGAUAGGUAGCUGGUCUGAGAGGGUGGACGGCCACAAGGGGACUGAGAUACGGCCCUUACUCCUACGGGAGGCAGCAGUGGGGAAUAUUGGACAAUGGGGGCAACCCUGAUCCAGCAAUUCUGUGUGCACGAAGAAGGUUUUCGGAUUGUAAAGUGCUUUCAGCAGGGAAGAAGUAAGUGACGGUACCUGCAGAAGAAGCUACGGCUAAAUACGUG
rnacentral:rRNA from 1 species